UCUCUGGAGGUCCAGUGGUUAAGACUCCACAUUCCCAAUGUAGGCGGCACAGGUUUAAUUCCUGGUUAGGGAA
rfam:TPA: Bos taurus chromosome 3, whole genome shotgun sequence.